UUUAAAAAGAUAUUUUGUUAGCAACACUUUAGUUGUAACUUUCUAUGUGAUAAAUUUCAAAUUAAAAAAUACCCUGAUUUAUUCUUUAUGUUUUUAAUUUAAAUAAGAAAUUUUGUGCCAAAACAAAGUUAAGAAAAAUAAAUUAAAGGAAGAGAGUAUUAAUUCUAUGUAAGCACCUCAAGUUUACCUGUACGUAGUUUCUUUGAGUUGAAGAACUUGUCUUAUGGUUUCUCCCAAUAACCACAACUUAUAUGGAAAGCAUUCAGUGAGAGGAAAGUCUCGGGGUGGGUGAGGUCAACUUAUAAUUAGAUAUUAUUUCAUAUUAUUGAAGUGAAGUGAGUCAACAUCCUAUACAUUUCUUCAUGAAUCUGUUGCCUUCUCAGUAUCGUGGCUCACACCAAAAUCGUGUUUUAUCCAUGGAUAUCCAGUAAAGUUCAAUAGUAUCACACAUGAUACUAGCCACGUAUCUCUAAAUAUAUAUAAAGGGUUAUUCCCUUGGAGCCUCUACAAGGAACUAUUUGACAAAUACAAGGAUAAUCACAAGAGGAAAUUCAGGGUCACUCUCUGUGGUGGAAGGUCAGACAUUUCAUUCACUUUUCUAUUUUUCUUCAUCCCAGCUAUCUGCAAUAUGGGCAUAAUGCAUAUUGUUUGUUAGAAAAAAACAUGGAAGAGGUCUAAUUUGUCAUAGCAGAAUCUAAGAAAACUUUGGUGAGGUAACACUUUACAUUGUCCUCCAGAAGUUUGUUUUCCUCUCGCAGCAGUUUUUCCUGCAAUAAUUAAGGGAUAUUGAUAAUGUGCAGUCUGAUGGAAAAUUUCACAUGAUAUAAUUCAUCCUUAAACAAUAAAAGAUAUAUGAUGACAGCUGUUGAUUACAAAGCUACAUAGUGCUGUAGAAAGCAG